AGUCCGUACGAGCGCACCCUUAUCCUUAUCUGCCAGCACUUCGGGUGGGAACUCUAAGGAGACUGCCGGUGACAAACCGGAGGAAGGUGGGGACGACGUCAAGUCAUCAUGGCCCUUACGACCAGGGCUACACACGUGCUACAAUGGUAAGUACAAAGGGACGCGAAGCGGCGACGUGAAGCUAAUCCCAGAAAACUUAUCGUAGUCCGGAUUGGAGUCUGCAACUCGACUCCAUGAAGUCGGAAUCGCUAGUAAUCGUGAAUCAGAAUGUCACGGUGAAUACGUUCCCGGGCCUUGUACACACCGCCCGUCACACCAUGGGAGUGGAUUGCACCAGAAGUAGUUAGUCUAACCUUCGGGAGGACGAUUACCACGGUGUGGUUCAUGACUGGGGUGAAGUCGUAACAAGGUAGCCCUAGGGGAACCUGGGGCUGGAUCACCUCCUU
rnacentral:rRNA from 1 species